ACCAGUGUGGCAUAGUGGUUUGAGCAUCAAACUAGGACUCUGGAGACCAGGGUUCGAAUCCUGGCUCAGCCA